UUGACCUCGGAUCAGGCAGGGAUACCCGCUGAACUUAAGCAUAUCAAUAAGCGGAGGAAAAGAAACCAACAGGGAUUGCCUCAGUAACGGCGAGUGAAGCGGCAACAGCUCAAAUUUGAAAUCUGGCUCUUUUAGGGUCCGAGUUGUAAUUUGUAGAGGAUGCUUCGGCGUCGGCUCCGGUCUAAGUUCCUUGGAACAGGACGUCAUAGAGGGUGAGAAUCCCGUAUGUGAUCGGUUGCCCUUGCCAUGUGAAGCUCCUUCGACGAGUCGAGUUGUUUGGGAAUGCAGCUCUAAAUGGGAGGUAAAUUUCUUCUAAAGCUAAAUACUGGCCAGAGACCGAUAGCGCACAAGUAGAGUGAUCGAAAGAUGAAAAGCACUUUGGAAAGAGAGUCAAAAGUACGUGAAAUUGUUGAAAGGGA
rnacentral:rRNA from 1 species